UGNGACUAAAGGCAUGUGCCAUCAUCACC
rnacentral:piRNA from 1 species